rnacentral:rRNA from 1 species
CGGACGGGUGAGUAACGCGUGAGAAUCUGGCUUCAGGUCUGGGACAACCACUGGAAACGGUGGCUAAUACCGGAUGUGCCGAGAGGUGAAAGGUUAACUGCCUGAAGAUGAGCUCGCGUCUGAUUAGCUAGUUGGUAGAGUAAGAGCCUACCAAGGCGACGAUCAGUAGCUGGUCUGAGAGGACGAUCAGCCACACUGGGACUGAGACACGGCCCAGACUCCUACGGGAGGCAGCAGUGGGGAAUUUUCCGCAAUGGGCGAAAGCCUGACGGAGCAAUACCGCGUGAGGGAGGAAGGCUCUUGGGUCGUAAACCUCUUUUCUCAGGGAAGAACACAAUGACGGUACCUGAGGAAUAAGCAUCGGCUAACUCCGUGCCAGCAGCCGCGGUAAUACGGAGGAUGCAAGCGUUAUCCGGAAUGAUUGGGCGUAAAGCGUCCGCAGGUGGCAAUGUAAGUCUGCUGUUAAAGAGUCUAGCUCAACUAGAUAAGAGCAGUGGAAACUACAUAGCUAGAGUACGUUCGGGGCAGAGGGAAUUCCUGGUGUAGCGGUGAAAUGCGUAGAGAUCAGGAGGAACACCAGUGGCGAAGGCGCUCUGCUAGGCCGUAACUGACACUGAGGGACGAAAGCUAGGGGAGCGAAUGGGAUUAGAUACCCCAGUAGUC